UACAGAGGUCCCGAGCGUUGUUCGGAUUCAUUGGGCGUAAAGGGUGCGUAGGCGGCGGGGCCAGUCUGAUGUGAAAUCCCGGGGCUCAACCCCGGAACUGCAUUGGAUACUGCCUUGCUAGAGUACUGGAGAGGGAACUGGAAUUUACGGUGUAGCAGUGAAAUGCGUAGAGAUCGUAAGGAAGGCCAGUGGCGAAGGCGAGUUCCUGGACAGUGACUGACGCUGAGGCACGAAGGCCAGGGGAGCGAACGGG
rnacentral:rRNA from 1 species